AACGUUAACGGUGGUGCCGACUUUGAACGCCUCAUAACAAUAACUCAGUGGCACCUCCGUUAACGUUCGUAUCUCCGGUAUUUAGCCAGUCAGGACU